CGCUGCAAGGACCCACAGAGUCCCAGAAAGAGCCCCUGCCUUUGAGGCUCUCCUGGCCAGGGUUGGAAAUGGAAGGUGAUGCUGAAGAGUGAGGCCACAGCAGGCCACAAGCUGUAUGGACACCUAAGGAAGGAAGCUGAGUUCUGUAUGUGGGGACAGGGACCGGGAGGGCGUCCUGGAGGCUGGUGUGGACCACAGCUCUGGAAGGACCCAGGCAGCUGCUUUCCUGCUCCAAACAAAGCUGCAAAGCCCAUCUUUUGGCACCAGCGUGGGAGGCGGAGGCCGCCAGCAGCUUGGCGCUCACCAAACUGCAAGACCUCCUGGGCAAAGGAUUUUGUUCUUUCUGCCCCACCAAACACUUGUCUCCUUUGAUUUUACCAUUGUUCUUUCCAGGGAAAUCUAAUUUUAAAACAAAAAAACAUGUUUUCUGACCAACAGGACACAUGUAUGCGCC
rnacentral:lncRNA from 1 species